GUAACUGUUCUUACUAUGACAUUGCAAAUUGUGAGAUUAAGACUGAAUAUAAGCCGCCAGGUGGAGUGUCACCCAACUUAUGGGGUGAUUGUUGGCUAAUUCGUUCCCCUGGUGCAGAUGGAUGCUCUGGGAGAUAUGGGUUUGCAGCUUCAGCUGGAAGCAUUUUGAACUCCGGAUUUUGUUCAUGGAAUUUUUUAUAAGAGAGACGUUACAGCAUUCCACAUUGAUUUAGAAACACCUGAUUCCUGUCCACAAUCAAAACUGUUACAACUUCUUUAUAUAACCGGUUGAAUAAACCCACUUGGGAAGGAUCGUUCCAAUAAAAUUGCCAAAGUGAUUGGGAAAGCUGUAGAUAAUGCUCGCCAAGCAAAAUCCAAAAAGGUAUAUUUGCUGCUUUAUUUUGUGUUUCAUUGUUAUUGCAUCGAAGACAUUUCGACUUCAAGGACCAAAUUGGAACUCUUAAGGAUGAAAUGAAACCAGCACCAAUUUUUUUUUUUUUUUUUUUGAGAAAAGGUAGCAUGCUACCGCUUCAAAACCAACACCAAAUUUCAGGGAGUAAAUUUUGCAAUCCAAAAUGAGGUUGAAAUUGAAAUGCGAGUCAAGUUUCAAACGCUAAAUUUGAAAUUAACAAUUAAUUUUGCUUUAUAUCGCUUUUGCUCUAAGAUGUAAUUUAAAUAUUUGGCCUUUCUAUUGAUGUUCAAUGGCAUGCUUACAUUUGUUGAUGCAGAAGUUAUUUUAUAUUCUUACAAUAACUAAUCAUACUCAAGUUUGGUGGCUUCCUAAUGUGGUUGUGGCAAACGAGAAGGAAUAGAGGAUCUUGCUUCUGUACGCACCAUAUGCAAUGUAUAUGAGAAUAUUCCAAUAAUUUAUCCAGUAUCAUGUAUUUAUUUGAUGCACAUAUUACAGUAUAUUGGUUCUCUUCGUCUUCUUCUUUUUUAUUUUAAAGACCCAACUUUUUUCUUUUGGAAUAUAUGUUAUGUAAA